AUUCCAGCGUGGACACCGCACCCUGACUGGAUCUAACGGACCUUUCGAAGGGAUUUCCAGCCUAUGAUCACUGCUUCUCCCUCUCGGCUCCUGGCUAUUUACAGUAAUCGGCCCAGUCCAGAAUCUCCAAACAUACAGGGCAACGGCAAUUAGUUUUCUUUAAAGGGCUCUAGUCGGCUGACUCGCAUGGGACAGGACUCGAUCACCUUAGCUGCAAUUCUCGGAGUAAAUU